rnacentral:rRNA from 1 species
CAAUAGCGUAUAUUAAUGUUGUUGCAGUUAAAAAGCUCGUAGUUGGAUUUGUGGUGUGUCCUGUCGGUCCGUGGGCUCAGCCUGCGUGUCUGUACGGGUCUGCCUUUCAUGGGAUUGUUGGCUUUGUGGCAUUAGGUUGUCGCAUUGUUGAUGCCCAUCUUUUACUGUGAAAAAAUUAGAGUGUUCAAAGCAGGCUUAUGCCGUUGAAUAUAUUAGCAUGGAAUAAUGAUAUAGGACCUUGGUACUAUUUUGUUGGUUUGCGCACUGAGGUAAUGAUUAAUAGGGACAGUUGGGGGUAUUCGUAUUCCAUUGUCAGAGGUGAAAUUCUUGGAUUUUUGGAAGACGAACUACUGCGAAAGCAUUUACCAAGGAUGUUUUCAUUAA